UCUACUGCCCCCUGCACCAGGAGCAGCUGAAACUGUUCUGUGAGACGGACGCUGAGCUGAUUGUGGGAUAUGUCGCGACGGACGAAGGCACAAGUACCACCACUUCUUCCCGGUCAAUGAGGCUGUGGAGAUGUACAAGGGCAAACUGAAUGCAUCCAUGGACGCUGCCACCAGGAGGAAGCUCACGGUACUGCGCAUGAAGUCCGAGCAGCAACAGAAGAUUUCCCACGUGCGGGAGCAGUCAAGCAGCCUGCACGCCCACAUCCGC